rnacentral:rRNA from 1 species
GUGAGGAAUAUUGGUCAAUGGGCGAGAGCCUGAACCAGCCAAGUAGCGUGCAGGAUGACGGCCCUAUGGGUUGUAAACUGCUUUUAUGCGGGGAUAAAGUGAGGGACGUGUCCCUUUUUGUAGGUACCGCAUGAAUAAGGACCGGCUAAUUCCGUGCCAGCAGCCGCGGUAAUACGGAAGGUCCGGGCGUUAUCCGGAUUUAUUGGGUUUAAAGGGAGCGCAGGCGGAGGCUUAAGCGUGACGUGAAAUGUAGCCGCUCAACGGCUGAGUUGCGUCGCGAACUGGGUUUCUUGAGUGAGUGCGACGUCAGCGGAAUUCGUGGUGUAGCGGUGAAAUGCUUAGAUAUCACGAAGAACCCCGAUUGCGAAGGCAGCUGACGAGCCCUUUACUGACGCUAAAGCUCGAAGGUGCGGGUAUCGAACAGG